rnacentral:lncRNA from 1 species
AAACGGAGACAACAAAGGUUUCAAAUUUCUUUGACCUUCAUCAUAUGUUAGUGAAUAAUGCAACUAUUUAUUAAAAUAGAAUUUUUAUUUUUUUAAUUUUUUUUCAAAUUCUAUGGGUUAACAAUCCAUACGAAAAUAUUUAUUUUUUCGGUAAAUGCUCUAUAUAUUGAAGCCUAUGAUUUUUCGUGCUGUUUUAAAGUUGCUAAACACAUUAUACAUUUAUAUUAAUUUAUAUUAAACUCUAUUUCAUGGUAUAUGGGCGUCGUUUAAAUUUUUUGUUCAUUAAUUUAGUAAAACUUCAUAAUACUCCCUAAAUUGGUUGACUAACCACAAUGAAAUCGCUAUUCUCUAGAAAAACGGAGACAACAAAGGUUUCAAACCUUGUUGACCUUCAUCAUACGUUAGUGAAGGAUGCAACUAUGCAUUAAAAUAGAAUGUUUCAUUUUUUGAAUUUUUUUCACAAUCUAUGGGUUAACAACCCCUACGAAAAUAUUUAAUAUUUCGGUAAAUGCUCUAUAUACUGAAGCCUAUAAUUUUUCUUGCUAUUUUAAAUUUUCUAAACACAUUAUACAUUUGUAUUAAUUUA